AUGUUUUUAAGGAUCGUUUUACUUCUUCUUCUCGUGACUGGAACAUUAACACAGGACUUAGGUUUUGACCUGGGAGAUGCUAUCGAUGAUAUAGCUCCAACACCUGCAAAGCCCAAAGAGCAACCGAAGGCCCCAGAUAAUGAUGGUGGCUUUAACUUUGAUUUAGGAGAUGCUCUCGGCCCAGAACCCACCCCCAAAACUGACAAACCAGCUGUUAAACCACCAAAGAGUGGAGGAGGUGGCUUUGGACUGGAUUUGGAGGAUGCCGUCGGCCCAGACCCCAGCGCCAAACCUGAAAAACCACCUGUUAAACCACCAAAGAGUGGAGGAGGUGGCGGAACUUUUGAUGACUCAGACUUGUUUGACAUUAAUGACGGGAGCUACAAGCCUGAUGGAGGCCGCUCAGGAGGAGGAGGAGGAGGAGGAAAGGAGGUCGUGCGGGGGACCCUGGCUCCGAUCCUCAGGGUGGUGCUGAUCAGCCUCAAGGUAAAUCUAAUCUUUAUGUACUUCCUGUCUUUGUCUCCAUGCUCCGUCAAUGUCACUGUGGAUGUCGCUAUGUCUUCCCGCAGAACUGAUCUGCCCUUGAGCUUUUGUUGGGAGUUUUCCUGUGUUGCGCCUUUGAGGAAGUUGUGUUCGCUGAUUUAUUUACUGGUUUGUUGCUGA
rnacentral:lncRNA from 1 species